GGGUGCGAUCAUACCAGCACUAAUGCACCGGAUCCCAGCAGAACUCCGCAGUUUAAGCGUGCUUGGGAGAGAGUAGUACUAGGAUGGGUGACUUGGUGAGAAGUCCUCGUGUUGCACCCC
rfam:Gossypium arboreum cultivar AKA8401 contig_265219_1, whole genome shotgun sequence.